CUUAUUCAUUUAUUUAUUCAAUGCCUUUCCAUUCUGACCUUUUAAGGCAAAACCUUUCCAAUGUGCUAACAAAACAUCAAUAUAACACAGAUAUACAAGGAUAGAACAAGGUCAAUAAAUUAACAGCUAAGCAGCAGCAAUUAAAACAUAGAACUUAGCAUGAAUUCAGCAGUCAAAUGCCAAGAACAGCCACAAAAAUAUGCUUUAGUUAUUCUUUUUCUUUGCAAAAAGAAAUGCAAAGUGGCUUACAACAACAGCACAUACGUGAGUAUGCCAUCAAUAUAUUUUUCUCCAGGAAAGGUACUUCCAAAGAGGUGGGCUACUCAUGCAAAGCCCCUAUCUCUGUUACCUUUAUUCCCCCCAGAACUUUUGAGUCUUUUUAAAAGAGAAGAAUCAUCGCCUGGAGUAUGUCUAGAGUUAUCUAUCCCACUUUCACCCCCAAUAUGCAGGCAUUGCAGGUUUGCAUAUUUGUUUAGCAAACUACAAAGCCUAUUUCAACCACCAGCAGCAUUCAGACCAAAACAAGGGGGGAGGUACCAUACCAUGUGAAGCAAUGUCUCUCCUGAGCUGCAGUUAGCUAGGGGGAGAGCUGUAGCUCAAUGAUAAAAACAACAUGCAUGACAUGCACAAGAUCCUAGUUUCACUUCCUGGCAUUGACGGGUGGGGCUGGGGAAGACUCCCAUUUGAAACCCUGAAGAGCCACUGCUUGUGGCCUGUUGGAACCCAUAAUACCAUAUGCUGUUCUCUUGUCUGGUUUAUUCACCCUUAGGUAACUGAAGGGGCACGAGGUCUUGGCAUGCAAAUGGAUGGAUUUACUUACAAAUGGAAAGCAAGGUGUCUCGGAGGAUGAAGCACUUGGCUGAAUUGAAGCAACAAAGUUGGAUGGAUGUUUGGCUACUAAAAUUAGAUGCAACAUUUUGGAACGUUUACUAAUCAGCCAUCUGCAUAACGGAGGCCUAUUUUGCAAUAGCAGGGGUAAUUACAGCUUUAAAAGGUUUUGUCGCCAAUUCCUUCAGGUCAACUACUGACACAUGUGCAUGAUCCAAGAUAUAGUUGCCAAGCCAACUAGUCUCUUUUGCAACAACUUUAAGGAUAUGUUGUAGGUCUGAGCUUUGAGAAACUGCAUUCAAAAGAUAAAAUAAAAGUAAAGUAUUAUCAGAAAUGUUUAAGAUAUGACAAAAAAUAAUCAGUAUAAAACCGUGCCCUUCAAAGGUCACUACUCUGCCCCUCUGAGGUCUGCACCCUAGGUAGCUGCCUAGAUGGCCUAAUAGGGAGUGGGUGGCACUGUGGUCUAAACCACUGAGCCUCAUGGGUUUGCCUAUUGGAAGGUCAGCG